CGCGCUCGUUCGUAAAAUAUUGUUUUCACCACUCGAAGAUAAAAGUCAUAUCUUCGCACAAUAUCUUCCGUGUAAUAUCCUCUAUAUAUUGUUAUUCUAAUGAGUUUCACAGCCAUCUUCUCUUCGAUAGGCUAUGGCCCAACGUAUCAAAAGCUCUACAUGCAGUAUAUGGAAUAUAUAAAAAACGCCAGUCACAAGAAUCACGUGUUUUGUAUACGAGAGUGACUGAUGUAUAUUAAAGCUACAAAUAUCGAGAUUUUGGGGCAUUUGCUCCAAAGAACUUGAAGGUUUUUGUCGAAAGGUUAUAUACAAUUCCAGACCUUUCACAUGAGCUGUUCCUGUGAGGUCUGAAAUCAUAC